rnacentral:rRNA from 1 species
GGGAGCUCUCCCAUAUGGUCGACCUGCAGGCGGCCGCGAAUUCACUAGUGAUUAGAGUUUGAUCAUGGCUCAGAACGAACGCUGGCGGCAUGCCUAACACAUGCAAGUCGAACGAAGGCUUCGGCCUUAGUGGCGCACGGGUGCGUAACGCGUGGGAAUCUGCCCCUUGGUUCGGAAUAACAGUUAGAAAUGACUGCUAAUACCGGAUGAUGACUUCGGUCCAAAGAUUUAUCGCCGAGGGAUGAGCCCGCGUAGGAUUAGCUAGUUGGUGUGGUAAAGGCGCACCAAGGCGACGAUCCUUAGCUGGUCUGAGAGGAUGAUCAGCCACACUGGGACUGAGACACGGCCCAGACUCCUACGGGAGGCAGCAGUGGGGAAUAUUGGACAAUGGGCGAAAGCCUGAUCCAGCAAUGCCGCGUGAGUGAUGAAGGCCUUAGGGUUGUAAAGCUCUUUUACCCGGGAUGAUAAUGACAGUACCGGGAGAAUAAGCUCCGGCUAACUCCGUGCCAGCAGCCGCGGUAAUACAAUCGAAUUCCCGCGGCCGCC